rnacentral:piRNA from 1 species
UGCCUAUGCAUAGCCUUAUCGUUUGGUGUUU